rnacentral:rRNA from 1 species
UACGUAGGGUGCAAGCGUUGUCCGGAAUUAUUUGGGCGUAAAGAGCUCGUAGGCGGUCUGUCACGUCGGCUGUGAAAUCCCGAGGCUCAACCUCGGGUCUGCAGUCGAUACGGGCAAACUAGAGUAUUGCAGGGGAGACUGGAAUUCCUGGUGUAGCGGUGAAAUGCGCAGAUAUCAGGAGGAACACCGGUGGCGAAGGCGGGUCUCUGGGCAAUAACUGACGCUGAGGAGCGAAAGCGUGGGAGCGAACAGG